GCAACAUACACUACACUGCUGCAACUCUAAAACGAGUAUUCUCGAUCGAACGACAAAUUCGGUUCGCCACGGUUCGUCUUCUCGCAGUCAAAUUCGUCGAGACAAAUUCGUGCAGCAUGGAGUAUCUUUCAAAAGAUGAUCUUCUCGAAGACGUUCACUUUUUGAAUCUUUCUUUGAAGCGCAGAAGCUCGGCUCAUCUUCUACUUCGAUUCAUUUCGCUUAACUCGGGCAGGUUAAAAGCAAGAUAAAUUUCAUGGACUAGCAGAAACCUUCCACGACGCGGAUGAUUUCGAUAACAUUGUCGGAAUAAA
rnacentral:misc_RNA from 1 species